rnacentral:lncRNA from 1 species
UGGGCGACCCAGAACAGAAAGUAUUCCCGCAUUUUACUGGUGUGCGACCUAGAACAGAAAGUACUCCCGCAUUUUACUGGUGUGCGACCUAGAACAGAAAGUACUCCCGCAUUUUACUGGUGGGCGACCUAGAACAGAAAGUAUUCCCGCAUUUUACUGGUGGGCGACCUAGAACAGAAAGUAUUCCCGCAUUUUACUGGUGGGCGACCUAGACCAGAAAGUAUUCCCGCAUUUUACUGGUGUGCGACCUAGAACAGAAAGUACUCCCGCAUUUUACUGGUGGGCGACCUAGAACAGAAAGUAUUCCCGCAUUUUACUGGUGGGAGACCUAGAACAGAAAGUAUUCCCGCAUUUUACUGGUGGGCGACCUAGAACAGAAAGUAUUCCCGCAUUUUACUGGUGGGCGACCUAGAACAGAAAGUAUUCCCGCAUUUUACUGGUGGGCGACCUAGAACAGAAAGUAUUCCCGCAUUUUACUGGUGGGCGACCUAGAACAGAAAGUGUUCCCGCAUUUUACUGGUGGGCGACCUAGAACAGAAAGUGUUCCCGCAUUUUACUGGUGGGCGACCCAGAACAGAAAGUGUUCCCGCAUUUUACUGGUGGGCGACCUAGAACAGAAAGUAUUCCCGCAUUAUACAGGUGGGCGACCUAGAACAGAAAGUACUCCCGCAUUUUACUGGUGGGC